rnacentral:tRNA from 1 species
UCCUUGGUGGUCCAAUGGCUAGGACUCUGUGCUCCCAGUGCAGGGGCACAGGUUCGUUUCUUGGUCAGGGAA